rnacentral:rRNA from 1 species
UACGGGGGGAGCAAGCGUUGUUCGGAUUUACUGGGCGUAAAGGGCGCGUAGGCGGUCAGCACAAGUCAGUUGUGAAAUCUCCGGGCUUAACUCGGAAAGGUCAACUGAUACUGUGCGACUAGAGUGCAGAAGGGGCAACUGGAAUUCUCGGUGUAGCGGUGAAAUGCGUAGAUAUCGAGAGGAACACCAAUAGCGAAGGCAGCUCGCUGGGACGGUACUGACGCUAAGGCGCGAAAGCGUGGGAGCGAACGAGG